rnacentral:rRNA from 1 species
GACGAACGCUGGCGGCGUGCUUAACACAUGCAAGUCGAACGGAAAGGCCCUGCUUUUGUGGGGUGCUCGAGUGGCGAACGGGUGAGUAACACGUGAGUAACCUGCCCUUGACUUUGGGAUAACUUCAGGAAACUGGGGCUAAUACCGGAUAGGAGCUCCUGCUGCAUGGUGGGGGUUGGAAAGUUUCGGCGGUUGGGGAUGGACUCGCGGCUUAUCAGCUUGUUGGUGGGGUAGUGGCUUACCAAGGCUUUGACGGGUAGCCGGCCUGAGAGGGUGACCGGCCACAUGGGGACUGAGAUACGGCCCAGACUCCUACGGGAGGCAGCAGUGGGGAAUAUUGCACAAUGGGGGGAAGCCUGAUGCAGCAACGCCGCGUGCGGGAUGACGGCCUUCGGGGUGUAAACCGCUUUCGCCUGUGACGAAGCGUGAGUGACGGUAAUGGGUAAAGAAGCACCGGCUAACUACGUG